rnacentral:rRNA from 1 species
AUUGAACGCUGGCGGCAUGCCUUACACAUGCAAGUCGAACGGCAGCACGGGUGCUUGCACCUGGUGGCGAGUGGCGAACGGGUGAGUAAUACAUCGGAACAUGUCCUGUAGUGGGUGAUAGCCCGGCGAAAGCCGGAUUAAUACCGCAUACGAUCUACGGAUGAAAGCGGGGGACCUUCGGGCCUCGCGCUAUAGGUGUGGCCGAUGGCUGAUUAGCUAGUUGGUGGGGUAAAGGCCAACCAAGGCGACGAUCAGUAGCUGGUCUGAGAGGACGACCAGCCACACUGGAACUGAGACACGGCACAGACUCCUACGGGAGGCAGCAGUGGGGAAUUUUGUACAAUGGGCGAAAGCCUGAUCCAGCAAUGCCGCGUGUGUGAAGAAGGCCUUCGGGUUGUAAAGCACUUUUGUCCGGAAAGAAAUACUUGGCCCUAAUACGGUCGGGGGAUGACGGUACCGGAAGAAUAAGCACCGGCUAACUACGUG